rnacentral:lncRNA from 1 species
UCAGUCUCUCCCUCUCAAUUUGUUCUCUCAUAUUUUCCAGGUAAUUGUUUUUCCGAUUUCAUACUUAUUUCAUUGUUUUUGUUUUUGUAUAUUACUGUGAAUUUUUUUGUUCCUUUUCAGUUUUUUGAUUUUAUACAUUCAAAAUCAUGGAUGAAGAAGAAACACCUUCUAAGAGAAUCACUAGAGGUAUACAAUCGAAUCAAGAGUUUUUGGAUGAUUUUCCAUCUUUUUCUUUGGGUUUAACUCAAGAUUUUCAAGAAAUUUCAGGGUCCAUUGCUAAAUCUCAAAUUAAUCAACAAGAGGGUAUGUCGAAGUCUGGUAAUACCCCAUUGAAGAUGAAAGAAGUCAUGCAGGUUGCAAAAUCAAAAGGAAAGACCAAAAAAUUGGAUAAACAUAAAGAAGACAAAUCACUUGAUGUUUUGACUUUAAAGAAGAAGCAUAAAGUAAAAGAGAUUGCAUCUACAAGCAAUAAACAAGACAAAUCAGUUGAUGUUUUGAUUUCAAAGAAGAAGCG